CCUACGGGGGGCAGCAGUGAGGAAUAUUGGUCAAUGGACGAGAGUCUGAACCAGCCAAGUAGCGUGAAGGAUGACUGCCCUAUGGGUUGUAAACUUCUUUUAUAUGGGAAUAAAAUGUUCCACGUGUGGGAUUUUGUAUGUACCAUAUGAAUAAGGAUCGGCUAACUCCGUGCCAGCAGCCGCGGUAAUACGGAGGAUCCGAGCGUUAUCCGGAUUUAUUGGGUUUAAAGGGAGCGUAGGUGGAUUGUUAAGUCAGUUGUGAAAGUUUGCGGCUCAACCGUAAAAUUGUAGUUGAAACUGGCAGUCUUGAGUACAGUAGAGGUGGGCGGAAUUCGUGGUGUAGCGGUGAAAUGCUUAGAUAUCACGAAGAACUCCGAUUGCGAAGGCAGUUCACUGGACUGCAACUGACACUGAGGCUCGAAAGUGGGGGUAUCAAACAGGAUUAGAUACCCGUGUAGUC
rnacentral:rRNA from 1 species